GACGAACGCUGGCGGCGUGCUUAACACAUGCAAGUCGAACGGAAAGGCCCUGCUUUUGUGGGGUGCUCGAGUGGCGAACGGGUGAGUAACACGCGAGUAACCUGCCCUUGACUUUGGGAUAACUCCAGGAAACUGGGGCUAAUACCGGAUAGGAGCUCCUGCUGCAUGGUGGGGGUUGGAAAGUUUCGGCGGUUGGGGAUGGACUCGCGGCUUAUCAGCUUGUUGGUGGGGUAGUGGCUUACCAAGGCUUUGACGGGUAGCCGGCCUGAGAGGGUGACCGGCCACAUUGGGACUGAGAUACGGCCCAGACUCCUACGGGAGGCAGCAGUGGGGAAUAUUGCACAAUGGGCGGAAGCCUGAUGCAGCAACGCCGCGUGCGGGAUGACGGCCUUCGGGUUGUAAACCGCUUUCGCCUGUGACGAAGCGUGAGUGACGGUAAUGGGUAAAGAAGGACCGGCUAACUACGUG
rnacentral:rRNA from 1 species